AGCUCCCUCUCUCUCUCUCUCUUCCCAGUAUAUAAUUAUUAUUAAUUAUUAUUAUUGUAUACAAAAUUUCACAUUCACGCAUGCCAUGCCAUGCAUGGGGGGCCAUGGCUGAAAUUAAUCUCUCAUUCGUAUUAAAUGCCAACUGGACUCUUGUGUCGGCCGACAAGCUUCACCCCUCCCCAGCUCACAUCGUUUAUUUGAAAUAAUAAUAAUAAUAAUAAUACACCUUAAUUAAUUAAUUAAUUAAUUAAUUGAUUUAAUUGAAUAGUACGAUGUAUGUACUGUGCAUGGCUUGACAUUUUUUAAGUAAAUAAAUAUAUGAACGUACCAUAUAUGCAUUUCAAUUUUCUAGCGGUCACAACCCCACACAUAUAUUGUUUGGAAUGUUAUGAAAUGUCAUGAUAAUAAUAAUUAUAUAAUGUGCCCGCAUAGAUACAACUUGAUUUUUUAGGCUGGAGAUUGAAGUGAGGUGAGGUAAGAUGGGGUGGGACCACUGACUGACUGGUAUGAGAAGGCCAGCUUAGCUGGCUAGCGCCAAGCUGCAAGGUUGGUAUAUAUGCGGAGAGGCCAAUUAAGCAACUUGAGCUGGCUGAGAUGACAAACCUAUAUAUACAUAUAUAUUGUAUUUGUUCCUACUUCAAUAAUUUCAACGUAAAAUUGGCCAGCUAGCUGCCCUGCCUCCACUGAUCUGAUCCUUGAUUAUUCUAUCAAUGUAGGGAAAAGUAUAACAACCCUAUGAUUUGAACUUAAAACAAAUUGAAUCCUAUGAUUUUUCAAGGGAUAAAUACUACCCUAUUGGUCACUUCGUAAGACAUAAUAGAUUUCAUCCUUAAUUUUUUCAUUACUUUUGGUCCUCAAACUUUUUUUACCUUUAUUGCUCUCAAACUUUCAACUUUUCUUUUCAAUUUAGUCCUAAAAUUCAGAAAACAAAAAGGGAGAAGGGGCCGGGGCCGUCAGUCGGCGACCUCGACCCCACCAGUAAGGUCGCAUGUACCCACAAAGGAUGCCGGCGACCAUGGAGGUAGGGUUGGGGCCACAAACUGGCCACCUUGCCCUCGAAUCUAUCAAGAUCUUGAACUCGAGAUCCCGGUCGAUCAGGGGCUAAGGCCACCAAUUGGAGACCCCGACCCUACCCUCGAAGUAUCUGGCGUCCUCUGUGGGUGUCGGCAACCCUGGUGGUAGCGGCCCAAAGCCCCUUCCCCCUUUUUUUUUGAAUUUUAAGAUCAAAUUGCAAUAAGUUAAAAAUUUAAGGGGAAUAAUGAUAAAAAGAAAAGUUUGAAGACCAAAGGUGAUGAAAAAAUUAACAGUGAGGUCCAUUAUGUCUCACAAAGUGAACCAUAAGGUGUUAUUUGUCCCUAAAUAACCAUAAAUUCAAUUUAUUUCAAGUUCAAACCACAAUGAAAUUUUUGUACUUUUCCUCUCAAUAAAUUAAUGCAGUAGGCUUCUAAUAAGUCUCCUAAUUUUCACUCUUCUUUUUCUCCUUUUGUUCCCCUUUGCUCUGCUUUUCCAUUCCUAAUGUUCACUCAAUUCCUUUUCCUUCCCCAAAAUAACAGGAAAGAAAAAGUGCCAUGAAUUCCAUUAGAAGAGAAAAGUGAGCAAGACAAAACAAAAAAAGGCAAUGACACUGAAUGGGUCACGUAAGACACAAUCUAUUCAAGCUUAGUCCUUCAAGCAAAAAAAAAAAGAAAAAAAUUAUUCUAGCUUAGUGCUUUUAUUUAUUUUAAAUUCUUUUUUCUUAAAUAAAUAAAAUAUGUUAUCUCAUACUCC